CAACACAAAUCAAAACUCAAAUAUCUUGGGAAAAAAUAAAGCUACCCCCCCCAGACAUAAUAAGUAGUGGUAGAUUCCAAUUUGGCCACCACCUCUUUAAAACUGCUGUUGUUCCAGACGCCACCCCUUUGUCCCAGCAGCCUGCAUGCCUCACUCCAGGGUGUGGAAUCUGCAACACUGGAGCUGAUGACGCAGUUCAGGAACUACAAAUGAGAGCAGACUAAAGAGUUGAGCCAGGGAGGAGAACUAUUAACCAUGCACGGCGGCUGGAUUUCCGCAUUAUCACGGGAUCACCCAUCACACGAAGAUCCAUCUUGUCAGGGGCAUGUUCAAGCUCAAAACGCCCACAUCUAUAACAACCUUGACCCGGCUGGAACCGUUGCACGCAUCGCCUUCAAGGGAGUGCACCAGCAGCAAAACAGCACGGGGGAGGUUCAUGCAACAACUGGCGGAGGAGCUGAGAGCCGAGUUAUGGAGAGAAAAAGGCCAACAGUACAAGGUCCGGGUCAGCAGCAGCAGCAGCAGCCAGGUUAGGAGAAGCUGCAAUUAGAAUUAACCACAGGAAACCAAACACGUCUGUGGACGUGGUAAGGCAAAGGCAAGGCAAUGUAUUUGUAUAGCGCAUUUCAUACAUGGCAGCAAUGCAAUGCACUUCACACAAAAACUAUGAUAAAAAAAUUAAUAAAUAAAAAUAAUAAAAAUAUGCAACUACAUACAAUUCUAACAAUAGUAGAAAAAGUAAAAUGUAUCUAUAACAACAGCAAAGAAUCCAUUUAAAAAUAAACAGAUAAAUAAAUGCAUAGAUAAAAAGACUUAUAAAGACCAAUGUGCAUUAAUUGCAGAACACAUCUGAGAAAAGCUGGGUCUUUAGCCUUGUUUUAAAAAUGGUUAAAAAUAGUUGGGGUGUUUUUUAUAUUCUCUGGAAGCUGAUUCCAGAGAUGGACGCCAUAGUGGUUAAAAGCUUCCCCCUGUUUUGUUCUGACAGUAGGUUUCAGUAGUAGUUGCUUAUGUUGUGAUCUAAGGGGUCUUGGUUGAGAAUAUUGUUGGAACAUGUCAUGCAGGUAGUUUGGUCCCAUCCCCUUCAGUGACUUAAAAACUAACAGAAGUGCCUUAAAAUCAAUUCUGUAUCUAAUUAAU